UACGUAGGGCCAAGCGUUGUUCGGAUUUACUGGGCGUAAAGGGCGCGUAGGCGGCUUAACAAGUCACUUGUGAAAUCUCCGGGCUUAGCUCGGAACGGCCAAGUGAAACUGUCAAGCUAGAGUGCGGAAGGGGCAAUCGGAAUUCUUGGUGUAGCGGUGAAAUGCGUAGAUAUCAGGAGGAACACCUAUUGCGAAGGCAGCUCGCUGGGACGUAACUGACGCUGAGACGCGAAAGCGUGGGGAGCAAACAGG
rnacentral:rRNA from 1 species